AUGUUCUUGUGGCUGCAGCUGGACUGUGUCAGCCUUGGAGAGAAGGUGGAGCAGAGUCCUUCUACCCUGACUGUCCAGGAGGGAAACAGCUCUGUUAUCACCUGUACUUAUACAGACACUGCUUUAGACUACUUCCUUUGGUAUAAGAAAGAACCUGGAAAAGGUCCCCAGCUCCUUACAGACAUUCGUUCAAAUAAGAGCAAAAAAGAACACCAAAGAUGGAGUGUUUUAUUGAAUGACAAGGCCAAACGUCUCUCCCUGCACAUCUCAGACACCCAGCCUGGAGACUCAGCUGUCUACUUCUGUGCAGCAAUUCCUCCUUCUACCUCUAAUCCCAUUUUCUCAGUGUCUUAA